rnacentral:rRNA from 1 species
UAUAGAGGGUGCGAGCGUUAAUCGGAAUUACUGGGCGUAAAGCGCGCGUAGGCGGCUUUGCAAGUCGGGUGUGAAAUCCCCAGGCUCAACCUGGGAACUGCAUUCGAGACUGCAUUGCUAGAGUAUGGGAGAGGGAAGUGGAAUUUCCGGUGUAGCGGUGAAAUGCGUAGAUAUCGGAAGGAACAUCAGUGGCGAAAGCGACUUCCUGGACCAAUACUGACGCUCAUGUGCGAAAGCGUGGGGAGCAAACAGG